rnacentral:rRNA from 1 species
CAGUCGCCGCGGGAAUACGUAGGUGGCAAGCGUUGUCCGGAAUUAUUGGGCGUAAAGGGCCCGCAGGCGGUUUCUUAAGUCUGAUGUGAAAGCCCCCGGCUCAACCGGGGAGGGUCAUUGGAAACUGGGAAACUUGAGUGCAGAAGAGGAGAGUGGAAUUCCACGUGUAGCGGUGAAAUGCGUAGAGAUGUGGAGGAACACCAGUGGCGAAGGCGACUCUCUGGUCUGUAACUGACGCUGAGGAGCGAAAGCGUGGGGAGCGAACAGGAUUAGAUACCCGUGUAGUCCCUGUCUCUUAUAC